GCCGGAGUGGCGGAAUUGGCAGACGCGACGGAUUCAAAAUCCGUUGCCCGAAAGGGUGUGCGGGUUCGACUCCCGCCUCCGGCA
rnacentral:tRNA from 1 species